rnacentral:piRNA from 1 species
GUUUUCUCGAUUGUUAAGUACCA